rnacentral:rRNA from 1 species
GCAAGUCGAACGGUAACAGAGGAUAGCUUGCUUUCUUGCUGACGAGUGGCGGACGGGUGAGUAACGCGUGGGAAUAUACCUAGUAGCGGGGGAUAGCCAGGAGAAACCCUGAUUAAUACCGCAUACACCCUACGGGGGAAAGAGGGCCUCUUCUUGAAAGCUCUCACUACUAGAUGAGCCCGCGUUAGAUUAGCUAGAUGGUGAGGUAAGAGCUCACCAUGGCAACGAUCUAUAGCUGGUCUGAGAGGAUGAUC